ensembl:lncRNA
CCUGUCAUGACUUUGGAAACAGCCUGCUUAUAAAAAGGCUUGAAAGUUUUUGGUAAAGGGGAGUUUGGAGGCUACUUAAAAUAGCAUAUAUUUUUUUAUAUUUGUAGGCACAAUUUUUGUUUUGGAAGCAUCAUGCAUCUUGUGUCGAAUGCAUGAAUUAUUACAAAUGUAUUAUUGGUGACUUUUCUAUGUUUGGGGUGGGAGGACGGCAGAUGAAAUAUCUUCAAUUGUUAAACAGAUUUCUCAUGUUUUGUUUGUGUUACUUUGGAUUAAGACAUCAGCGCCUUCUAAUUACUGUCUGACUGCUUGUCAGAUCCUCCUUUUGGUCCUUCCACCAUUCAAAGUUGUAUCCCAUAAUAUUUUAUUAAAGAGGUAAGCCAUAAAAAUUGAGCUCUGUCUGAAUAGCGUUCUUUAAUUUCCGUCACAGAGAUACGUGACUGUUGCUUGUCACAUAUUGUGAAAUGUCAUAAAUUCUCAGAAGCAAUACAAAAUAUAGCUGAGGUAGUUGUGAACGCAGCACAGUCAUCCAUAAUCUGCCAGAAGUUUGUGAGAUAUACUGUGUCAAGACGGCUGUUUGACAUUUGCUGCUGAAGUAGGUAGUGGUAAUAGCUGUGGCAGAACAUUAUACCUCGCCAUCAGACUGAAUAGGUAUGAAGAGAGCGAACAAAACACAAAGGGUCAUUGUUGAGUAUUUGUCUUGUCAAUUACCCGUGUUAGUGUCGAAGACCUGGACAUAUUGAGGUAUUAAUGGUGAAUACGCCUCGUUUUCCAGUAUUAUUCAUGGCGUCUAACCUGACUCCCGGAUAGACUUCACACGUUCGAGGCAUCAGAGGACCUCAUUAGUUUGUUCUGUGAGGUACUCUGAAUAUACUGCAUUGCAUGUUUGACAUACUCAGUAGUGUAAAGAUUUUUCAGCACCUUUUGUGUUGCAUAUUUAGACGUUAUUCAGGCCUUUUUAUGGUUACCGGGCCGACAGCUCAAUGACCCAAAUUAACAUUUAGUGUACAUUUGUUUUUCCAUUUCCUCAUGUAGAAAAUGAACACCUUAAUGUAUAUAUGAUUUGUUUAGCUAAACUGACUUCACAUUUUACAUUCCAUAUAUCUACAUUUUCCCUCUUAUACUCUGCUACAGAGGAAAGUUUCUUCAGAGAAACCUUUGGGUGUGCAGUCUGGGUAAGGAAAGGUACUUCGACUUGAACACUCUACCUAGACGUGUAGAACUGAUAUGAUUGCACUGACAUAAUCAAUAUGCAGCCAACUCAUUGACAACGAACAUGGCACUUUGCUUUGUUUGUCACUCAUUGUUCUGCACUGGAAUCAGAGUCAUUUAUGUCCGUGCAUACAAUACUGUGAUUUAUCCUUAACAGUUUUAUUAUGUCAGAUAUCAGUUCAAAUUAAUGUAUAAACUGCUCUUAAUAUUUAAAAUUAUAUAAUGAAGAAUAUAUCAGACUUUCUUAGGAAAGGAUUGGUGUGUUUCUUGCCUGAAUGGAAACUUGUCAGACAGGGGUCUUUUGUAUAUAAAAGGAUGCCUAGAUUACUUCCUGAUUAUCAAAUAUCGUGACUGACCUUAGAGUUUACUGGCUUAAAGGCCAUAAGAUGAUUCACACUGAGAAAGACAACGGAUGAGGGUGUAACCGAGGCUUUAAGCUUUAUCUACACAAACACUUCAGAGAUCUUCUUUCACCACAAGCAUGAUGUAAUGCACACAUGCGCAACUGUCAUCUGCGAUCUUGAACAAAAUGUCAGAGCUGUGCGCAAAGUCACAUAGAAAUGACACCAUUUUUGUAGUUGUAGUAGUUGAAUGGCCCUGGAUUUCCAAUGGCUGUAAGAGGUCAAAGGUUCUGUGCUUUGGGUACUCUGGCCUGGUGAGGUCAUUUGAAUGACCCUCAUAAUUUCAUGACCUUCCACUAUUGCUGUCAUCCCAUUCCAAAUGAAUGUAGCUGCUGCAUGAGGUCCCUUUCCUGACUUAAGAGGUCAACUGAGAAUCACUGGUAGUAGCCUACCUUUAGACGUGUAGCCUGCAGUGUUGUAAAACAAGCCGUAAAAUACCCAUCAGAUUCUAUCAGCUUAACGACGAUCAGUUAUUAACUUCAUGUACAUCCUUGUUUAAAACAAAAGAAGGGAGAUGUGCCCAUUCUGAUCAGUUGGCUAAUAUGACAGCCUCAGGGUCUCCCUCCUGAAUCAGAUAGUCUUCCAGAUCUCUUCAGCUCGUAAGAGCUAAUUAGACAUUUUCCAAGGCAGUUUCCAAGGAGUGGGAUAUAGUGGGCUAGAUUAUGACUUCCUGUUUAAAACGGGCCGAUAUUACUAAUGUCUAGCUGAGUGCACGUGGGCAAUGUUUACUGAGAGGUCAUACUAAGGCUCUGAAUUAAAUGUAAUCAUGUAUAUCAGAUUUUACUAGUAAGAAUAUGUUCAGGUUACUGAAGCUCUUUACCAGUAAGAAUAUGUUCAGAUAACUGAAGCUCUUUCACUGUAACAUACAUACAGUAUGAAGACAACAUCUAGUAGGAGGGGAUAAGCUGUAGGGCUUAACAUUUAGUGUGCAUCAUUAAGUUUAAGACCGUCUUAUUACCAAAUGCAACCUAAUAAAUGAGCCACUCUACUCAUGAAAUAAUAAGGUGCUCCUGUCUGAUGGUUAUUUUAUAGAGAGCAGAAAUAACAUGCAUGCUAUCAGACACAAUGUAAACACUAUACAUUAACAAGUAAACUGUGUGAUGCAUUAGUAUUGAUAUGGUUAAUUCUGAGAGAGUAGGGGAGUUACAAUAAAGGGCUGUGAAAUUCUUCAGUUAUCAAAAUGAAUCCCACAAACAGAUUUCAUCAUGUUUAUCACGUAGACUUUAUUCAAUAAAUUAUUCAGCAAAACAACAACAGAUAACAACAGGUAUAUCCUUCCUCAGUGAAUACAGUGCCAUAUCAAGUGCGAUUAAAAAAAUUAAUAUGCUGCAAAAAAAAGUUUUAUUGUCGGCAACUCUUUUCCAGUUUAAAUAAGUGUCACGAAGACGCCAUUUUCCCUGUGCAUGCAGGCGAGACAGAGCCGUGCCCCAUCGACCCUGUGCAGAGUCGUGUGUCAGUCCUGUGAUCAGUCACCUCCCUGUCAUUCUCACUCGCUAGGUAUGACAGCGCCAGCCGCUCACGAGGAGUGAGAUUUCACUGGUUGUGGUUGUUAAAUGUGACUUGGCUUCUUACAAAAACUUUUAGCAGGUUGUUCUGAGGUGGAAAAAUCUAGUGUAGGAAAAAUGAGGUCUGUCCGGUACAUUGUCUGCCAGAGGCUGAGUAUGACUAUAAGGAUCAGGUUUACAUUUGGCUUGCAAAGAUUUGGUCGAGAAAGAAAAGUCUAAUUUUCCUGGCAUGUUCAUUGUUCCUGAAUUGGUCCCCUAGCUUACAAUAUUCAACCUGCAAAUUGUUCGGCUGUUUUGACGUUUCAAAAAUCCUUGAAGGAUGUACUCUAAAGAAAACAGAAAUAGGUUCUAAAUAAGACCCGUGAAACAUCAGAGUGAACACUCCACUAAACAACCUCGUUGCUAUGGUGCUGAAUUGGUGACAUCGUGAGACCUCUCAUACCCUCAUAAUGUGAUGCAACACUUACUUUUGUCGUUCACUGCCGUUCACAAGGGGCCCUCUGAACUUGCUGUAAUGAGACGUCGUGUAGUACAAGCCAAUGAAGUUUUACAGGGGGGGCCCAUAUUGACUACACGAAGCUACAUAACUGCUCAGCAUUUUGCCAGAGGAAGUUUACAACAUGUGGCAAACAGGCAUCCCUAUGUUGAGGGUGCACAUGUCUGCUGCUGCCUUGAGGCAGCACCCUUCCAGGGCUUGCUUUCUUGAAGCGUUGUUGUUGCUAAAAGUAUGUAUGAAACAUGUCAUGACAAUAUAACAACUCACUAUUCUUAACUGCCCGCUAUUUUCCCAUAUGCAUUUACAACUCAAGUGUGUUCUGAGUUGUGUUGUGAGCUGAGUUGUGACUCCUCAACUGUGUUGUUAAACUGUAAGUGUUACCUCUGCAGCUGGUUUGACAGUGUAAAUAAUAUUAAUAGCAUUAGGCUACAAUCUCAAUAAUGAGUUGCUCAGAAUCAUGUGAGAUUUUCUUGAAUUAUUAGCUCCACAGUAUUCUUUAGAAGAGUACUGUGAGCCUUUCUAGACAGGUCUUAUAAAAGUGCAUAGUAUGCUUUGGAAGUACUGUGAACCUUUGUCCACCUUAGUCCAUGUCUUAUAAAAGUGCAUAGUAUUCUUUGGAAGAGUACUGUGAACCUUUCUAGACAUGUCUUAUAAAAGUGCAUAGUAUGCUUUGGAAGUACUGUGAACCUUUCUAGACAUGUCUUAUAAAAGUGCAUAGUAUUCAUUGGAAGAGUACUGUGAACCUUUCAAGACAGGUCUUAUAAAAGUGCAUAGUCUUCUUUGGAAGAGUACUGUGAACCUUUCAUGUCUUAUACAAGUGCACA